CUCUUGCUGAGUCACUGAGUUCCAUAUCUGGGAGAGACACCAUCUCCGGAGACAAGAUGGAUGGCUCCUGGGGAAUGGCAUCCAAGUUUAUCCCUCUGGCCUACACACACGCAUGUGCACACAGGUCAGUUCGUUAGUUCUGCAAAGCAAGUUCAGUCCAGCCAAGGCUAGCAGGUCUGGGCUGGAGCCCUGAAACAAAGACCGCCAAGAGAAAAACAGGCAGGCAUUCAUCUUCAUGUACCUCACUUGACACCUGCAGGAAACCCAAGAAGGACUUCAAAUCCGGUCUCUCUACCACCAUCAACGAAGAAUACAUACGCAGAAGGCAGGGACAAAGGAAAGCUGUUUUGGGGUUCAAGGCAGCGGGCCAGACAGAUUCAUCUCUGAGCGUACUGAACACUGACAUGUGCAUACAAAACAACACUGCCUCCGUAGGAUUUCGGAAAGCUUCUCACCUUGCUCUUUGAAAAAUACACUCUGCUUCCAGUGGCCACUCGGCCUUGGGGUUAGAGGAACAAAACCUUCCUUCCUGACUACAUACAAAAAACCCUGGCCACAAACUAGUGGUCAUGGAGUCAAAACUAGCAGGAUAGCAGGCUGCUGGCAUGACGCUUCCUGGAGAGACAUGGGCAAGUAUCUGCUCACCCUAAUAGCACAGCAACGGCAGACCAAAGAAAUCAUUUUGUGAGCGGUUGUGGGAGACACAGCCCAACAGCUGGCAGCAGCCUAAGUUGUUCCCUUCAGCUCAGGGCUCUCAACACAAGGAUCUUAGACUUGGCUGUAGGGAAGAAUUCAGGAUGAGGAGACAGAAGCAAAGUCAGUCAGUUUAUUAAGUAUGGAGUUAGUCACGGAGAAGGAUAAUACACAAUCUCAAGACAGGUGUGUGGGUUUUUACAGAAGGUCAUACUUAUCU
ensembl:lncRNA